rnacentral:tRNA from 1 species
AGUGAAAUGCCUGAUUAAAGGAUUAUCAUGAUAGGAUAAAUAAUGUAAAUUAUUACUUUCACUA